rnacentral:rRNA from 1 species
CCCAGACUCCUUCGGGAGGCAGCAGUGGGGAAUAUUGGGCAAUGGAGGCAACUCUGACCCAGCAACGCCGCGUGAAUGAUGAAGGUCUUCGGAUUGUAAAGUUCUUUUCUAAGGGAAGAAGAAAGUGACGGUACCUUAGGAAUAAGCCUCGGCUAACUCCGUGCCAGCAGCCGCGGUAAUACGGAGGAUGCGAGCGUUAUCCGGAUUUAUUGGGUGUAAAGGGAGCGUAGACGGCAGCACAAGUCUGGAGUGAAAUCCCGGGGCUUAACCCCGGAACUGCUUUGGAAACUGUGCGGCUGGAGUGCAGGAGGGGUAAGCGGAAUUCCUAGUGUAGCGGUGAAAUGCGUAGAUAUUAGGAGGAACACCGGUGGCGAAGGCGGCUUACUGGACUGUAACUGACGUUGAGGCUCGAAAGCGUGGGGAGCAAACAGGAUUAGAUACCCCCGUA